rnacentral:rRNA from 1 species
AUACGGAGGGUGCAAGCGUUAUUCGGAAUCACUGGGCGUAAAGGACGCGUAGGCGGGUUGGCAAGUCAGAUGUGAAAUCCUACAGCUUAACUGUAGAACUGCAUUUGAAACUGCUAACCUAGAGUAUGGGAGGGGGAGAUGGAAUUAGUGGUGUAGGGGUAAAAUCCGUAGGUAUCACUAGGAAUACCGAAAGCGAAGGCGAUCUCCUGGAACAUAACUGACGCUGAGGUGCGAAGGCGUGGGUAGCGAACAGGAUUAGAAACCCCAGUAGUCC